GACGUAGGGCGCGAGCGUUGUCCGGAUUUAUUGGGCGUAAAGAGCUCGUAGGCGGCUUGUCGCGUCGAAUGUGAAAUCUCGGGGCUCAACUCCGAGCUUGCACUCGAUACGGGCAGGCUAGAGUUCGGUAGGGGAGACUGGAAUUCCUGGUGUAGCGGUGAAAUGCGCAGAGAUCCGGCGGAACACCGGUGGUGAAGGCGGUCUCCUGGGCCGAGGGCCGACGCUGAGGCGCGGAGAGCGUGGGGAGCGAACCGG
rnacentral:rRNA from 1 species